UGGAAGUGACACGGAAGUGAUGAGCGUGGUCUUUUCGUGUUGUUGUUGUGGAGUUUAUGGCGUCAAAGAAGUUUAUGGUGACCGCCCGAACAUGGACUGCGGCCGAGGGAUGUUUUGCCCGUUUUGUGGCAAACACAUGAACAGCUUAACGCGGUUUUGCUUUACGUGUGGUCGGUGUUUGGAGUUUUUAAAGGACGCGGACAAGACGGAAACAUUGGAAACACAGGGGACGUCUCGACAGCCGGACAGUGCUAUGCAAAAACAACCAUGCCCAUCAUACAAACAGUUCAUGGAGUACAGAAGCUCGAAAUCAAAAGAACGACAGUCUUUUAACUAUGGGCCAAAAGGAAGAUAUAGGCCUAAAGAAAGAAAACACGUCCAGAUAAACGUAGGAUUGAUGGUGCCAAGUGGAACUGCUUUGCUUUAUCUUGGCCAGGUCGCAGUUGUAAAUGAGAACUUGUUCUCAACUGGUUACCUGGUUAAAUAAAGGUUAAACAAAAAAAUAAAAAAAAUAAAAACCUCUAAGAGGGAAAAACAUUACCGUUAUUUACAGACCCAGAGGUAGCAGCACCUGAUCUACUGAAACAAGCUGUCCAGAAAAUGACAA